AUGUGCAUGCAUAUAGGUACA
rnacentral:miRNA from 12 species